CCCACCGAUCGGGCGGCCACCCGCCGACGGCUCGGGAUCGCCGAGGACGCGACGGUCGUCGUCUUCUUCGGGUUCGUGCACCCGGUGAAGGGGC
rnacentral:tRNA from 1 species